UAUGUACAAUUUUAAGGAACAAAGCUUUUGCAAUCUGUCAAUCCCUGGAUUUCCCCAUGUUGAUUGCAUUGGAACUUACUUGGAGAGUCUUGUUUCACCGAAUUACUGUGGCAUUACUGAUCGAGAACAUUAAGCAUGAGACAAAUGCAGAUAGAAGAGGAGCAGAUCUGUUUUCUCCAGAAGACAUUAGGUUCCUUUUCUGGUUCUAGAAGAAAUGAUCUUGAAGACCCAAAAAUUGGUUGGUUUGGCUGGCUACCGUAGAAUGUACCGGUCAAUUGGAUUAUCAAGUGUCAUACCCGAAGGCCCAAGUUUGACUGGCCCAGCUCCAACAACAACUGCAAGUCAAGUCCUGACAAGUUCUACCCGGAGUCUGACUCAGCAUUAACACACAGCUUACAUUUUGUUAAGACACGCAGGCCACACUUUCUAGUUGUUCCCGAGGAAAUGUGGCUGGAAAAAUUGAGGGAGCAGCUGAUGGAAACCCUAACUUCCUGAUGGAGAUAAUAGUCAGAAUCUUUCAAUUUAUGGAUUUCCUGAAGUUGGUAGAGCUGGGAUGUACAGGGAGAGCCUUGCUUCACCCAUUACCCUUACGUUAUUGACUGAGAACAUUAAGCAUGAGACAACUGUAGAUAAGAGAGGUAAAGAAGGUAAAUCCACUCAAUCUCUUUCUAGACUUUCUUGAAUGUUUUAAAUUGUUGCUGUAUUUUUGGUGCACGACUGAAUAAGGUUUUAAUAGUUCUACCAUUGUUUGAUGGUCCCUGUGUUGAAUACAAGUGCUUAGCUUGUACUUUGACUAAAAGGAGUCGGAAGAAGUUGCUUCAAUCACCGCACAUAUGAGCAUACAUUUUUUUGUUAGAUGAAUUUUUGUGGUUUUAGUUUUGUCAUGUCAGUCUUUUUCAGCCUGGAAAUUAUUCAAAGAUAGUAUAAAUAUUCAUAGGCUAGGCAGGAUUUGUUAUGCGUUUUUUUGUCACCAUUCUACUGUAGUAUAUCCGAACAUAAUAAUGUUUUCGUGCCAAAUAUUUAUCUGCUAAAUCUUUUCAUAAUUUGACUUUCCUUUUGUCCUUCU